rnacentral:lncRNA from 1 species
AUUAUUGAGUGUCAAAUUCUCAAUUUAAAAGAGAGAAAAACAGAGAGUGAGAUUGAAGCUCGUUGGAGAAAAAGAGAGAAUAAAAAAAAAUCAGUUUUUCAAGCUUGGUGCAGCAGUGAUCAACUCCUCGAUCGAAGGUCCAUCCGUGGUUCGAUUGAGCUGAUUUUUGGACAGCAGCUAGGUGAUAAGGUGUUCUUGACUUUGUACGGUCGGAUUUUUCAUCCGAGACUUGUAGCGUCGGAAAUACCCAUUUUUCAGCAGCUACGUUUUUGGUGAUGUUCUCUCAUUUUUCUCUCUUUUGCUAAAGAUUACAUAUUGUUAGCCUUGUCGGAGUUGAAUGCUUGUUGUAGGCUUGAUAUUGUGAUCUUGUAGUCGAACAUUUGAUGAUAGUAGAGCUCUUUAUCGGACUCUAAAGUCCCGUGGUUUUUUACCCUUGAUUUAGAGGGGUUUUCCACGUAAAAAUACCGGUG